rnacentral:rRNA from 1 species
GAACGCUGGCGGCGUGCCUAAUACAUGCAAGUCGAGCGAACGGACGAGAAGCUUGCUUCUCUGAUGUUAGCGGCGGACGGGUGAGUAACACGUGGAUAACCUACCUAUAAGACUGGGAUAACUUCGGGAAACCGUAGCUAAUACCGGAUAAUAUUUUGAACCGCAUGGUUCAAAAGUGAAAGACGGUCUUGCUGUCACUUAUAGAUGGAUCCGCGCUGCAUUAGCUAGUUGGUAAGGUAACGGCUUACCAAGGCAACGAUGCAUAGCCGACCUGAGAGGGUGAUCGGCCACACUGGAACUGAGACACGGUCCAGACUCCUACGGGAGGCAGCAGUAGGGAAUCUUCCGCAAUGGGCGAAAGCCUGACGGAGCAACGCCGCGUGAGUGAUGAAGGUCUUCGGAUCGUAAAACUCUGUUAUUAGGGAAGAACAUAUGUGUAAGUAACUGUGCACAUCUUGACGGUACCUAAUCAGAAAGCCACGGCUAACUACGUG